rfam:Picea glauca, whole genome shotgun sequence.
ACAUGCCAAAAACAUAGCGUUAAUGCAUCGGAUCUCAUUAGAAAUCAACAGUUAAGCACGCUCGGGCUAGAGUAGUACCAGGAUGGGUGACCACCUAGGAAGUACUAGUAUUUUACAUGCC